CCUGUAAGGUACAACUCAAGUUUCAAGUCGCAUUUAAACGCGGGGGUGGCCCUUAGCCAUUACGCCCUUCUUAAAGGGAAUUUUCACCGUCUCUCCCACUGGCCGACGAUGUUGUACUGGAAACCGUGGUCUCCUGUGUCCACUCGGACAGGACGCCCCCAAACCAGUUCUCUGUUUCUCUCACUCACGGAGGGCAGGUCAGGACCACGUGGCGAGGACCAAGCCCCAGCGAGUCCCGGUGAGGACGGGGCCGCCAGCAGGCGCUUCCCCACACCAGCCAGCAGGUGACAGACAAGCCAGGAGGGACGGCAAGGUGUCACCACUGACAGCCGCCAAAGACUCACAUCGACGGACACAAACGACAGGGCCCCGGUUCCAAAGGAGCAAAGGAUAGAACCGCACGAUUCCCGAAGAUCUGACCCAGAUGCACAAGCACUUUGGGAAGGUGUCCACAUUGCCAAGCAGUGGAGGAAACGCAGGUGAAAAGGACAACGGAACCGGACGCACUCGGUGACCACAGGAACGGGUUUGAUUAAAGCAGCCCGGCGCUGGCGAAAAACCACAAAUAUGCGCAUGCCGUGGCCCUGCCCUGGAGCCAAGCCCGCGACGCAGCACUCGUGCACACGCCAUCACCGUCCAGCAACGGGACGGUGCGGCUGGAGGUCCCUGCCCCAUGAGGGGGGCAGCCGAGGACAACACUCGAUUUUUAACUUGAUGGUACCUUUUCUCGCUCAAAACUUGCCCAGUUUUACACAACUGAUUUUGUUAAUCCUUCACUUUAUGCGUUCGGGGUCUUCGACUAGCCUCACACAGCCUUCUCGAACCCCUAAGUUACACAAGAGACCUCCGGUGUUUCCUGGCUCCUUACAGCAUCUGGAAGAUCUACUCUUGUGAGUGCAGUGAGGGGGCACCAUUGCCCAGAGGUCUGUCGUCUGCCGCCCCGUCACUUGCCGCUGAGACUGGGCCACACCGUUCACGGGAACGCCACAGAGCGUGAGUGAGCGCCAUUCAGUCCUGCGGGCUUCGCCGUCUGCGUGGGCUCUAGAUGGCCCAUCGACACUUACUUUUAUAAUUUUUUUUAACGUUUGUAUUUGAGAGAAAGCGAGAGAGACAGAGUGCUCUGCGGGGGCAGAGAGAGAGGGCGACACAGAAUCCGAAACAGGCUCCAGGCUCCGAGCUGUCAGCACAGAGCCCGACGCGGGGCUCAAACCCACGAGCUGUGAGAUCAUGACCUGAGCCGAAGUCGGACGCUUAACCGACUGAGCCACCCAGGCGCCCCAACGUUUACUUUAAAUUGUUAAUAUCUGCGUGGAGAUCACAGCGAUUUGACAUUUGGGAAGACGCACAUUGUGACGACAUUCCCUCUCAACCAGAAACGGAGCCGUGUCUCGUUCAUUCAUGUCCUCUCACGUGUCCCGCGGGAGAGCUGUCGCCAGUGUUUCCGCGUGUGUGGGGGGGACCCGACGCCGGUGCGCAGGUCGUCCAUGAGCCUUCCCCCAUGCCUCCGUGUCCGGGGUCAGGAGCAGCAGCCACAGCAUCUUGUCUCCUUCCUGAGCCUUCCAGGCCGAGAGUCUGGGACAGAUUUUCACAGCUUCACCAAACUGGAAGAAACUCCCUUCUUUUCCCGGUUUCCGAGUGUUCAGGGAGCGGGGCUUACACAGCCUCAGAGGAUUCCGCGGCACUCGUUAAGGGCUCCUCCCUCUGCCUCGGAGGCAGACGCAUGGCAGACCGGCUCCCCCAGCCUCUCCUGGCCUCCCUGUUGCCGCUCGAGGGAUGUGGCGCCGGGCACGCGCUCUGCACUAAGGGGUCCUUGCCGCCAUCGAGGCCUUCCUUUGAGCCCCCGGACACGGUGGGGCCGGAGUCCGACCUCACCUGACAGGGGCCGCCUGCCCCGCACACGACUUUACGCUCCAGCUUUCAGAAUCUUUCUUUCUCCGGACAGCAGAGAAGCAGGCUUUGCUUUACAGACCACUUGGGGAAUCUUUAAACAGGUGAGUUAAUUCAAUUCCCUGUUUACAGAUAGGACGAUACGCCGUGCACAAGUCUAACCUACCAGCCUGUUCUGUUCGCAUGCGGGCCUCUUAAGCCUUUCACCGCGAAGGAACGCGGGUCUCGUUACAAUUUUCCUGUCCUGUUGGCAAUUUGGAGUUUUGUCCUCCCGACCACCCUUUAUAAGCAGCCCGGCAUCUCCAGCCGUGUGUGGCACCCACGGGUCUGCCACCAUGGCCUCCGUGACCCCACCUCGCCAGCACCGCUCGGCCACCUUCGGUCUCCCUCCGGGAGUUACCGGCUCCGAUCCCCGGCUCCCACCAGAGGUGACCUGGGCUGCCCUUCCCUGCGUUGGGCACGAUACCCCAAGCGCGCUGCGCUCCCGGACAGUCUCCUGGCUCCGCGCCUCACACUCAAGCCUCUUACCCUGUAGCCGCUGCCCCUGACGAACCGCUCGGCUGGCCACAGGGUCUCUGGUCUCUGGCCCUCUCUUCUCCUGAACACCGUGUGGGAGCUGACCCUCUGUGCUCAGGCGCGGAGCCCUGUGUCCACAGCUGGCAAGCCAGCCUCAUUCUCCUCCCUGGUACGCAAGUCAGGGUCUUCGUCUGGCUACCAGAGGGUUUUGCCACACCCAUGAUUUUGAUACCGUAUUUACUACGCUGGCCGUUCUGGAUGGAUUUCCCGGAAACACAGCACGGUCUUCACUUCCUUCCGGUGUCCGGAGCGCCCGCGGUCACGCAGAGACGGUCCUUGGCCUGGGCCCUGUGUUGUGCUGGUCUCGUCCUUCCCCGCUCUCUCCCCGCCGCGUCCCGCUCGGUCCCCGCGUCUGUCCCACGUCUGCCCCGCGCUCCCACGCGUUCCGGGCAGCUGAAGCUUCUGCCGGGAGAUGCCGGUCUCCUCCUGUUCCACCCCACGCCCCCUGCGUUCCCGAUUCAGCUCUGCCUGCCGUCUGGCCGCCUCUGACGCCUCACUCUCUCAAGUCCAGUGCUCUGUGACAGCAACCGUCCCAGUGGCUUCUCUCCACCACAGGCAGCUUCUGUGGUCCCUUCACCACCCCGCUCGGAGGGCGCCGGGGCUCCGCAGCAGCCGGACUCAGGGAAUGUGCACCGCGUGCUCUGUCUGGGGCACCUUCUCUCUCUCGGAAGACGGCCCUUCCCAAGCCCGUCACUCCUGCCUCCCAGGAGCCCCCACACCUCCUGUCUCCGCUGCCCCCUUCCGAGACUCAGUGCUGCUGCCCAGCAGGUGCCACCCGCACACGGCUCUUCGUCUCUUCCGACAAAGGCACUUCCAGGCUGAUGGCCUGUCUGUCCCCAGCCCCACCGGAGACGUACUCCAUAUACUUUUUGUUGCUGUUGCUCUGGGAGCGAGCAGCCACCCUCUCCUACCACAGUCCUACAUGUAUUUUAAUGUUUACAGGUUUCCUGUUGCUGCACCGUGGGUCCGCUCCUGUCUCCUGUUUUCUUCAUUGACCUUCUUUUAAGAUCUCUCCAAGCUGUUAGAUACGCAUUGAGUUCCUGGGUCUCCUCCACCCCCACAACUGCACCCAGUAAGCAGGGGAGUGAGGACCCUACUAAGGCCUCCUCCUUGGCUGCUGUGGCUGUUCAAAGUCUACCUUAUCUGAUGCUAAUGUACUACGAACAGCCUUCUCUGCACUAGCCUUUACUAAGUUGUUAAUUUUCUAGUACACUUACAAGCUUUCUGCUUCCUUUUUUUGUUUAACUUUUUAAAGUAAUCUCCACACCCAACAUGGGGCUUGAACUCAUGACCCCGAGAUCAGAGAGUCCCGUACUCCACAGACUGAGCCGGCCAGGUACCCCUCUAGUUCAUUCUUAAUACCUAAGUCACAGAGCUUCAGAUCAGAUUCCUGGGGCGCCUGGGUGGCUCAGUCGGUUAAGCGUCCGACUUCAGCUCAGGUCAUGAUCUCACGCUCUGUGAGUUCCAGCCCUGCAUUGGGCUCUGUGCUGACAGCUCAGAGCCUGGAGCCUGCUUCAGAUUCUGUGUCUCUCUCUCUCUCUGGCCCUCCCCUGUUCAUGCUCUGUCUCUC